rnacentral:lncRNA from 1 species
UUCCAAGUCCAAAAAAGACUCAUAUAUCUGAAUAUCAAGAGAUAAAGCUGCAAGUGAAGAGGAUUCUUCACAGGUAGGAGAAUCUCGUAUGGACAAGAUUCUUUUCCCUCUCUCUCUCUUGGGCACAUAUCCUUUUUAAAUCUUGAAUCUUGAAUCUUGACUCUUGAUUCUUGAUUCUUUUCCAAUCAAGGUCAUGAGAGUCCUUGAGAGAAUGGGAAUCUUUCAUCCUGCGAGUGUUGGUGCAGGCGUGAGUGUCAAUCCCGCGAGAUUCUUGAAGUUUACGGGUUCUUUGAGACUCAUGCGAUUCUUGAAGCU